GGAGGUAUGGCUCAACAAUAGAGUGUUUGCCUAGCAAAUAGGAAACCCUGAGUUCAAACCCCAGUACUUCCA
rnacentral:tRNA from 1 species